rnacentral:rRNA from 1 species
AACGAACGCUGGCGGCAUGCCUAACACAUGCAAGUCGAACGAGACCUUCGGGUCUAGUGGCGCACGGGUGCGUAACGCGUGGGAACCUGCCCUUAGGUUCGGAAUAACUCCCCGAAAGGGGUGCUAAUACCGGAUAAUGUCUUCGGACCAAAGAUUUAUCGCCUUUGGAUGGGCCCGCGUUGGAUUAGCUAGUUGGUAGGGUAAAAGCCUACCAAGGCGACGAUCCAUAGCUGGUCUGAGAGGAUGAUCAGCCACACUGGGACUGAGACACGGCCCAGACUCCUACGGGAGGCAGCAGUGGGGAAUAUUGGACAAUGGGCGAAAGCCUGAUCCAGCAAUGCCGCGUGAGUGAUGAAGGCCUUAGAGUUGUAAAGCUGUUUUACCCGGGAUGAUAAUGACAGUACCGGGAGAAUAAGCUCCGGCUAACUCCGUG